rnacentral:rRNA from 1 species
UACGGAGGGGACUAGCGUUGUUCGGAAUUACUGGGCGUAAAGCGCACGUAGGCGGAUUGUUUAGUCAGGGGUGAAAUCCUGGAGCUCAACUCCAGAACUGCCUUUGAUACUGGCGAUCUCGAGUCCGGGAGAGGUGAGUGGAACUGCGAGUGUAGAGGUGAAAUUCGUAGAUAUUCGCAAGAACACCAGUGGCGAAGGCGGCUCACUGGCCCGGUACUGACGCUGAGGUGCGAAAGCGUGGGAGCAACAGGA